rnacentral:tRNA from 1 species
UGGGGAAUCGUCCAACGGUAGGACAACUGGCUCUGAACCAGGAAAUUGGGGUUCGAAUCCCUGUUCCCCAGCCA